rnacentral:rRNA from 1 species
AACGAACGCUGGCGGCGUGCUUAACACAUGCAAGCCGAACGGACAGACAGAGAGCUUGCUCUCUUGAAGUUAGUGGCGAACGGGUGAGUAACGCGUAAUCAACCUGCCCUUCAGAGGGGGAUAACAACGGGAAACCGUUGCUAAUACCGCGUACGAUUCAUGAACGGCAUCGUUUAUGAAUGAAAGGUGGCCUCUAUGUAUAAGCUAUCGCUGAAGGAGGGGAUUGCGUCUGAUUAGCUAGUUGGAGGGGUAACGGCCCGCCAAGGCAAUGAUCAGUAGCCGGUCUGAGAGGAUGAACGGCCACAUUGGGACUGAGCCCCGGCCCAAACUCCUACGGGAGGCAGCAGUGGGGAAUCUUCCGCAAUGGACGAAAGUCUGACGUAGCAACGCCGCGUGAGUGAUGAAGGUCUUCGGAUUGUAAAGCUCUGUUAAUCGGGACGAAAGAGUUCUGCGUGAAUAAUGCAGAAAAGUGACGGUACCGGAAUAGAAAGCCACGGCUAACUACGUGCCAGCCGCCGCCGUAA